AUUUGCUUGUCCUGUACUUUUCCAGGUGUAAUAACUUGUCCUGUACUUUUCCAGGUGUAAUAACUUGUCCUGUACUUUUCCAGGUGUAAUAACUUGUCCUGUACUUUCCCAGGUGUAAUAACUUGUCCUGUACUUUUCCCGGUGUAAUAACUUGUCCUGUACUUUCCCAGGUGUAAUAACUUGUCUUGUACUUUUCCAGGUGUAAUAACUUGUCCUGUACUUUCCCAGGUGUAAUAACUUGUCCUGUACUUUUCCCGGUGUAAUAACUUGUCCUGUACUUUCCCAGGUGUAAUAACUUGUCCUGUACUUUUCCCGGUGUAAUAACUUGUCCUGUACUUUCCCAGGUGUAAUAACUUGUCCUGUACUUUUCCAGGUGUAAUAACUUGUCCUGUACUUUUCCCGGUGUAAUAACUUGUCCUGUACUUUCCCAGGUGUAAUAACUUGUCCUGUACUUUUCCCGGUGUAAUAACUUGUCCUGUACUUUCCCAGGUGUAAUAACUUUUCCUGUACUUUUCCAGGUGUAAUAACUUGUCCUGUACUUUUCCCGGUGUAAUAACUUGUCCUGUACUUUUCCAGGUGUAAUAACUUGUCCUGUACUUUCCCAGGUGUAAUAACUUGUCCUGUACUUUUCCCGGUGUAAUAACUUGUCCUGUACUUUCCCAGGUGUAAUAACUUGUCCUGUACUUUUCCAGGUGUAAUAAAUUGUCCUGUACUUUUCCAGGUGUAAUAAAUUGUCCUGUACUUUCCCAGGUGUAAUAACUUGUCCUGUACUUUUCCAGGUGUAAUAACUUGUCCUGUACUUUCCCAGGUGUAAUAACUUAAGAACAUUAACCUCCAUGUUUUCUGCAUUUUUCAUUUGUAAUCCGCCCCCCCCCCCCCUUUUUUUUUUUUUACUGACAAUGCAAUUAAACUAACAAAUAGUAAC
rnacentral:lncRNA from 1 species